AGUGGUAAAAUUGCGUAAGAUGGUAAUGAACGCUAAUUCCAAUGUCAACCACAAGGGAUUGAUUACGGAAUGACGUUAACCAGCGAACCAUAGUGUGAGGCGCGUUUCGUUCACCAUAAUCUAUUCUUAUUGAAUGGAAAUUAUGCCUGCACUGACAGCAUUGGGUAAGUUAAAAACAACGCGCUGGGACCAGGGGAGGGGGGACUAGCACUUAACGAUUAAGUACAGCAUUAGCUAGGCUACCAUUACAUUCACCAGUUUGCAGGGUGUCCACAGAGCAUUAGAAAAGUCUUUUCAGUCGCCCAUGGUCCAAAGAUAUUAAAUGGAUAAUUCCAAAAAUAAUUCCUAAGUUUUAAAUUGCACGCCAUUCUGAGUACCAUGAUGAAAUCUCGUGCCAUCCCGCCUGGGGGUGCGUUUCCCGUACAACGACGGAGGUUAGCAUUAAUAAUGCAUCCUAUUAUGUUAGUUAAAAUUAUCCAUUUCCUCAAACCACCAUACCUAGCUGUUAAUUAAUACCACCGUGGUUUGAACCACGCCAGUUCAAACUACAAUGGUUCCAGGUGUAUUUGGUCUUUCACUGCGGGUCGCGCGCAAAAACUCACGAGCUUCGUAGUAUUAUUUAUAAAUACGAUGGUUGUGCCGAAACUACAUUAUUUAUUGUGUCAGUAAUAAUAAUAUUAAACUCAAAAAUAGCAAUGGCGUCAAAAUAUGAUACGCUAUUUGCAGUGGAAAAAAUAGAACUUUUAGCUAUGACCGUACAUUUUGUGAAAUACGCUCUAUCUGUAAUUACGCUGAUAAUUAUUAUUUCUUUGUGUUUCAGUCACAUUACAAACACUUGCAAAUUCUAGGUCCGAUGUUGCCUGUGUAAUAAUUGGAAUCUGUUUUAUUUUAGUUAAGUGGCAGAGCACCACAUCAGCAGGGGGCGCUAAUGUAUAUAUUAAGUGUUGUAAGCUGCUGCUUUUUCCUGCGCUAUCGUUGUUGCUGGGAAUUCUUUGCCCGGUUGUCUGUCCUGGGUAAUGGUGAAUCAAUAAAAGGGCUGUUCAGGAGCGCAUUUUGGGUCCCUUACCUCCAGUUAUUACAGCUUACGGUAUGUUAGUGGCUCAGUGGAAUAGACGCGUGAGCGUAACACCCAACCACGACAGACGUAAUUUCUCGAGUACACAGCAAUGGGUUUGUAUCCGACCGCUGAUACGUUUCUUUCUUCUCUUUCCUUAUGGCAACGACGCCUGUCAGUGAUUAAGGAUUGAUUAGUUAAAGUUCUGUAAUGUUUGCUUAAGGCAUCCGUUGUCUCUAUGAAGGUAUGGGUGUAAUGAAGACAUAUGGCACAGCACCAAAAGCUAGAAAUACACAAAUGUACAUAUUGAGGGGAUAGUAAAAGCUGUCCCUCAUCAUGCUCUGUUUUUCUUUCCUUUACCUCCAGAUGAAUACUUAAGUAAAUUAGGAAAUCUGGCACGGGUGGGAAAUCAUGUGUUUCUCAUACAUGCUCUACACUAAAGCCUUGUGUUAAGAGCGAAGAGGUCCUAUACGCCAAAGUAAAAAUGGCACAGGAACAUAAGCCUCGAUUUACAGCCAUAGAGCUUGCUGUGUUGGUGGAUGAAGUGAAAAGGAACAGGACAGCUAUUUCUCAAGGCUGAAAAAUGCUGACAAGGAAAAAGCUUGGGAGGAGAUCAUGGAAAAAAUUAUGUGGGCCAUGGGUGUGAGGGGGAAGUGAAGGGACUAUGCCAGUGUCACCGAAAGGAAGGCUGCAGCACUCAGGAGGGAACAGGAGAGGAUUGGUGGUGGGAUCACCAGUCUGCCUCCUCUCACUCCUGGGGAGGAGCGAUGGUUGACCAUCCCAGGACCAGAGGCACUUGACAGAGCCCUGGGGGACACAGAUGACUUUGGUCUACACACUUCCCAAAGACCUGGAUAUCAGGCCUACAUGCCUCCCAAAGUCCAACCCCUCGUCCCUGUCAUGGGAGGUAGAAACAGACAGUCUGGCCAACAGGGCUCUGGAGAAGCAGUGUUGCAUAGUAUGACACAAUUAUCUGAAAGCAUCGCCUCACUUGGACCAAGAUACAGGAGUUGCUGGAUUUUGUUCAGCCUCAUCUCGAAUCCCCGACCAGCAAGGCACCACUGAGGUACCCUGAGCAUGCAGAGCUGUGACAGCUGUCACCCAGGUGCUGUUAAAGGUCCCUCAGGGGAUGGAUGAGCCCUUCAGCCACAGUGGAGUAGAUCACCUGAGCAAACCAAGGCUUCCACAACAUUGCUGGCAUUCCCCGAGUCACUGGCGUGAUCGAUGGUGCCCUCAAACCAAUGGCCAGGCCAAUCUUCCUGUACCUGUUGCAAAAAGUUACCAAAGACACUGAUCUACUGGUAUUAGUGCCCAGGACCAGAAAAAAAUUGUUACAAUAAAAAUACAACAAAGGGGACAGACAACCUUGUUUGGAGCUCGUCAUGCAUGCUGCUGUGGAUUUCACACUAAGAUGAUUUGUCCUCAUGUACUAAGCACUUCUGUAGACGGCUACUUCUGUCCUUGCGAUGUCCGCCGCAACAGGCAGUGCAGGACCACGAGCCAGUUCAGUGUUCCGUAGGCCAGCAAGUUCAGGCCCCACUGCAGCAGCAAUUUGAGUCACCUGUCCCAGUCAUGUGCACAGUCCACUGCAUCAGCAUCACCCUCUGCUCAGAGCCUGCCCAGCCCCAGCUUAACUAUGGGAAUGGUAAAGAUUGACUCUUCUUGUGUGCCACUGCCCCUCUACCAUAUUCCGGCCCCCAGCAUCAGUACCACUUGGCACUGGCUAAAAGGAGGACUGUCGCUCCACACAUUGACACUCCUUUAGCACACUCAAGGUUAUCAGUACCAAGGCAAAUCUGCCCAAGGCUCCAUCUUCAUGACGGGAAAACCUCAAAUCCCUGCUGCUAAACCUAUUGCUCCUGUAACCCCUCCCCGACUGAACCAAGGCACAUACACAAUUGCCAUAGCCAGUAUUAUGGAUAUAUUUAUUGUCCUCAUCAUGCUAGCAUGCUGUUUGAGCAGUGAAGGGAGGACAUGUGCAGGAAGAGGGCAGAGAAAAAAAAUGUAUAUUCAUUCAUUAACUUUUCAUGUAGUUUUUAAUUUAUUACAUAUAUAGCGAUUCUACCUUGUGUGUUUUUUUUUGGCCCCAACGAGGAUUGCCUCAAUUUUAUAAAAAUCUGUAAAUGAAAUCAAAAAAGUAAAAAAGCCAAGUGUCUUUUUUGGUUUGGUUUGUUCCAGGUUUGGUUUGUAUCCAGGUUCUGUAAAAAUAUUGUAGUUAAGACCACAUUACGGGUUUGGACUCAAUAUCGUAAGUUUAAGGUUAUUCUCAUGGUUGGGAUUUGGGCUAUGUCCACAGAAAUGAAUGGAGAGUUCCCAUAAAGAUAUGAAUAUAUUUGUGGACUGUGUGAUUAAAAACCUGUUACUUUGAUGUAGUGGGGACCAUUUUUUCGUCAAUU